rnacentral:sRNA from 1 species
UAAAAGAAGAAGAAAAAAAGCA